rnacentral:rRNA from 1 species
UACGUAGGGCGCAAGCGUUUGUCCGGAAUUAUUGGGCGUAAAGAGCUCGUAGGUGGUUUGUCGCGUCUGCCGUGAAAGCCCCGGGGCUUAACUCCGGGUCUGCGGUGGAUACGGGCAGACUAGAGUGCGGUAGGGGGAGACUGGAAUUCCUGGUGUAGCGGUGGAAUGCGCAGAUAUCAGGAGGAACACCGAUGGCGAAGGCAGGUCUCUGGGCCGCAACUGACGCUGAGGAGCGAAAGCGUGGGGAGCGAACAGG